GACGAACGCUGGCGGCGUGCUUAAUACAUGCAAGUCGAACGGAAAGGCCCUGCUUUUGUGGGGUGCUCGAGUGGCGAACGGGUGAGUAACACGUGAGUAACCUGCCCUUGACUUUGGGAUAACUUCAGGAAACUGGGGCUAAUACCGGAUAGGAGCUCCUGCUGCAUGGUGGGGGUUGGAAAGUUUCGGCGGUUGGGGAUGGACUCGCGGCUUAUCAGCUUGUUGGUGGGGUAGUGGCUUACCAAGGCUUUGACGGGUAGCCGGCCUGAGAGGGUGACCGGCCUCAUUGGGACUGAGAUACGGCCCAGACUCCUACGGGAGGCAGCAGUGGGGAAUAUUGCACAAUGGGCGGAAGCCUGAUGCAGCAACGCCGCGUGCGGGAUGACGGCCUUCGGGUUGUAAACCGCUUUCGCCUGUGACGAAGCGUGAGUGACGGUAAUGGGUAAAGAAGCACCGGCUAACUACGUG
rnacentral:rRNA from 1 species